rnacentral:lncRNA from 1 species
AUUAUUUUAAGAAUAUAAGUAAAUAUGUAUGUACAGGAAGUUAUCCUGUGCAUUAUUGCAGGACGAAGAAUGGCAUAGGUUUUAGAAGUUGUUUAGGUAGAAGCAAUAUUCAUAACAAUGACUUCACUAACAGUGUAGUAAAUUGCAAUUACUUUAAUCUAUUUUCUUUACCAAAUUUGUUUUCCUUAAAAAGGAAAACUAAAAGUAAUGAUAUCCUUAACAACUAUGUAAUUUUAAGAAUAAUAAAAGUGUUAGUACAACAUAAUAUACAUAUUUAUUUAUUAAAAAAAAUUUGUUUAUUUUGGAUUUACAUUUGUAACUACAAUGAUUCCAUUUUUUUUAAUAAUUUAUUAUUUUUUCCAUAUUAUGAUCACACAGUUUUAUCUAUUUAUGUUUCUUCUUUUUGUGCUCUUUUAAAUUAUUAUAUCAUAUCUAAUAUGUGUAUAAAAUUAAUAAAUAUUCGAAAUUUUAAAUUUAUUCCCAAUUUUAUAUUAACAAAAGGUUUUAAGAAAGUAAGUAAGUUAUUAGCUUCCGCUUUUUGGGUAUUAUCGGGUGGAAUAGUAAACGCAUUGGAAGAUGAGAUUUAUUUUAUGUCAUUAGAAGUUAUGAAUGGUAAUAACUUAGGUACUGUUACCAGUACAUGUAGUAUUGACAACAUUUAUGAUUUUUUGGAGAACUUAAAUAUAGAAUCUAUUAUACAAGAAGAAGAUAUAUAUAACGACAUGGACAAAAAGAUGGAAGAAAAAAUGAUUAAAAAAGAAGAACAUAUAAUUAAAUAUUUAGAAAAACAAACUGAUAAUAAUGAUAAUAUGCAUGUUCAGCGUUUUGUAUUUAAAAAUCAUAGGAUUAAAAAGGAUAUUAACAACACGUUUCAAUCGUUUCAUUUAUUAGAUGUAUUUUUUUUUAAAAAAGAUAGUAUAAAAAAAAACAGAAAAACAAUAAAACGUGAUAUUUAUAACACUCUGUGUAUUGAUAAAUAUUGGUUUAUUCGGGAUAAUCUGUUGAUGGGUAGUUAUUAUUUUGACGAAUGUACAGACGUGCGUAACGAACGUGAUUCAGUUGGUAAACAUGAUGUGAACAAAUCGCAACAAUUACAAAAGGAACAAUUUCAAAGGAUAAGCAUACCGAAACAAAGUUAUAACGUCAAAGGUAGUAGUAGUGAUGACAGUAGUAGUGAUGACAGUAGUAGUACUACCUCUGAGAGGUUAACAAAAACAGAAAGCCACUAUAAAAACAAUAACAACAAUUACAGUUGUGUUAAAAAUAAAAAUUGUUUAAGUAAUGAUAUCGAUACGGUGAUAAAAUGGCUAAACGAGUUAGGGAGUAUCAAUGACAGUAGUAGUGACAGUAGUAGUAUCUACGACAAGGCCAGUGGUAGUGGUAGGGCUACUGACAGUAAUAACAAAAUGAAUAGCUGCAUGUGUGAACAAAGCAUUAUAAGAGACAAUAACAAUGCGAUGUAUUCGGGUAAUGAUUUUAUAAUAAAUAAUAUAAAUAUGGAUUUGAAAAAAAGUAAUAAUUGUAAUAAAGAUAAGAUGAAGGAAGAAGUAGAAGGUGGUAUUACACCUGUAACAAAUACAAAUUAUAACCCAAAUGGUAUAAGUAAUCAUCUAAAUUCUUUAAACCAAAUGUUGCAAAGUAAUAUGUAUAAGAAUAAACCUUACUGGAAUCGUACAAAUCGAACACAACAUUUACACCAUACAAAUAUGUCACUAUCACAAAACAAAAUGAGUACA